UACGUAGGGCGCAAGCGUUAUCCGGAAUUAUUGGGCGUAAAGGGCGCGUAGGCGGUGUCGCAAGUCCGUGGUGAAAUCUCUAGGCUCAACUUAGAGACUGCCGCGGAAACUGCGGUGCUUGAGUGUGGGAGAGGUGCGUGGAAUUCCCGGUGUAGCGGUGAAAUGCGUAGAUGAUCGGGAGGAACACCUGUGGCGAAAGCGGCGCACUGGACCACAACUGACGCUGAGGCGCGAAAGCUAGGGAGCAAACAGG
rnacentral:rRNA from 1 species